rnacentral:lncRNA from 1 species
GAACAGGGAGAGCUACUCUUCCCUGGAGCUGCAGAGGACAACUUGUUCCACCCACGCUGCCCUGCCCCGAUCUCACAGAGUUAUGACCGCCUCGUUGCAGUCCGUUCCUAAGUUAGCUUCUCCUUUGCUGGGGUCUGAAGCCCAGACCACUCACUCUGGGAGAAAGCAACUGGCUAUGUCAUGAGGAAAUUGAAACCACCUAUGGAGAAAGGCCCACAUGAAUUCUGUAAGUCUGCUACGGUGACAUUUCUGGUUAGGAGUCAGAGUGGAUGGGACACUGAGCAAUAAGAAUGCAGAGACAUGAUGGCUGAAGCUGGAGCUUUUCCCUGAAGCAACCACCUGUUGGAAACUUCAUGUUGAAGAUGACUGAAUAAUAAGACAGAGGGGUCUGGGUCCCUGGUGGAUAUUCCAGAUCUGGGUGUUCGUGGAGAUAUGAGAAAGCAAUAAACUUCAAUUUUGCUUAAAUAGCUGUUACUUGGGGCAUUCUGUCAUUUAUGGACA